rnacentral:sRNA from 1 species
CUGCUGCGGGGCGAUGAAGUGGACGUGCGUGUCGAUCGCGCCCGCGGUGGCGAUGAGGUUCUCCCCGGAGAUCACCUCGGUGCCGGCGCCGAUGAUCAGCCGCCGGUCCACCCCGUUCUGGGUGUGCAGGUUGCCGGACUUGCCGAUUCCGGCGAUCUUCCCGUCCUUGAUCCCGAUGUCGCCCUUGACGACGCCCAGCACCGGAUCGAUGAUCACGGCGUUGGUGAUGACGGUGUCGAGCGCGGUGGUGGCGUUGCGCGAGGCGGG